UCUAGAGAUGAGCAGAAGAUGCAGCUUCUCAUCAGGUCCAUAAGUGUAGCAGAGAGAUUUGUGUGGGAGACUUGAUUAAAGCCCAGCUGCUCCAUGCAAUCUGAAUCCCAAAACAUCAGGACAUUUUUUGUCCUUUUGAAAAAUGAUCCUCAGCCUGCCGGUGAGGUGCUAAUUAAUGUGAGGAUGUGGUGCACCAUAUAAUAAAGGCUGCUGUUGAGGAAUGUGAGUGAAGUAGGGAUUGAUCCCGAGGUGCUGAUGUGUAAACAAGAUUGCUGCAGAGGUGGGCCACAGUCAUGAGGGACAUGACCUGGUUCCCUUAGCCAACCCAACACAUUCCUCUUAUGGAGGCAGCAGACCCUCAGGCUCCUUCCGAGGGCCCUGCCUGCAUUUUUCUGUCGCCGGUGCCUCCGAAGAGGGGAGCCUGCGGAUGAGGAUCCGACAUGCACGUGAGCCAGCUGGCUUUGACUAGUUUAUCUGCAAAUCUAAAACACAUGAAGAACCAAAGUCUGCAGAACGGAAAAGGGCGAUUUUCUCUGAGAUGCCUCUAACCUGUUGUAAAGAAGAAUUCUGCAUUGUGGUGCAGCUGACUCAACCCUUAUUUCUCUCAGUUACCAAGAAAAGCAAAAAAAGGCAAGAUCCUUGAAGUGAUCCAUCAGAGGAGCAGAUUCAUAACAAGUUUUUCAGAAGUUCCCUUAUUGGAUUUACAAGCCUGACCCCAACAGACCUUGCAAUCACAGGUGAGAGUCCAGGUAGAACAAGUAAUAACUUCACACAUAUGUACAUGAGGAUUUCCACUACACUAGCAAACACAUUUCUAUUGGCAUUUCCUUUUCCAGCCUGGCUAUCAAACCUCAUAUUUCACAUAUCUGUAGAGAAAACCAGGUUUGUUUUCCAUGAAUGGGCCGCAUUAUGGGGAUUUUUAAAUGUUAUUCCAUCUCCUACAGGCUUUUAUCCAAACCAAGCAACUAAAAUAAAACAUGGCUUCCUUCCCUGAGAUGGUUUCAUAGCCCAGCUCUCCAACUUUCUCCCGUACCACAAACAUGCAACACAAUUGUGCAACAGCCGAGGAAGGAAUGGUGAGAUCAGAGCCGUGACUACAGACAUCCUGACAUGGGGAUCUGGCAGUUAUUCAACACAAACACAAUUAGAGGACUUACCCUUGCGUGAAGUAUUUGCUUUCUUGAUAGUCACCAGCCUUAACCUCUAGGAAUGCUUACGAAUCAGAUAGCGUUCCUUGAGGAGGGUGAGCCUUUCCAAGCUCCUCUGUCCUGCUUUAGCCAACACAGAUACAAAGAAGAAAGAAAUUCCGCCGUAUCCUACAACUUCUCCCAGGGAAAGCCUUUUAGAAGCAGAGAAGAGUUGUGGUCUCAAAAUCUCUACCAAGACUUUGGGAACACAAUAUCAUGCAGCGCUUGCUCCUCUUCCUAAUAUCAGCAGGAGAAAAUAACACCACAAGAGAUAAACUUUGAAAUUCUCACCAAAUAUGAAAGAAGGGGGUUUCCUGAGUCCUGCUCCUUGGCUUUCCCUUGCAGUUGACUUGUCUGGCAGAGGUGAUACCACAGAAGAAUGGAUGGCAGAGAUUUGCAUGCCUUGGAAGGCUCAUAUGUGUGUGUCUGCAUAGAUAUUUGGGAGCUUGAUACAGAAAAAGGUUCAUUAACUUAGAAAAUGUAUUGUACACAGGUGUUACACAACUUACAAAUCCUCAAGUGUGACAGCACAAAUAUUUCAGUAGAAUAAUUCCAAUUGGUGAAAAUCUUGGGUUUUUCACAUAGUAACAGCAUCUUCAAAAUGGCAAUAGGAGUUGACCUCUAAUAAAACAUCUGCUAGCAAACUGGUCAAAUGUCAGUCUGGCACAGCAGUUACAAAGCAAAAGACUUGUUCCAAAAUGUACAAUAAUUUAAAUUAUUCUUCAGUGAACACAAGAACUGGACCAAAGGAGGGCUCACUGGUGUAAACCCAGGUGUGUAACAGAGCAGUGCAGAGGGGAAGACCAGUGGGAUUUCCAGACGAUUCAAUGUGACAUGACACGACUACCAGAGGUACCGCAAGAUACACAGAGGCUUAGCUGGUAUAACAUAAAACAAAAUAAUAGGAAAAGAAAGUGGUUGAGAUAACUCCAACCCAGGAACACUGAAGUGAGCUGAGAGGCUCUAACCUGUGUGACCUGCCUAAGCAAACCCACCAUGCUGCAGGACCACUUAUUCAAUACCAACUUUGAAAGUGCACCCUGGAGCAGCACCCUAGCAGCUGUAGGAGGAACAGCUGUGCAGUGUUUGCCUUCCCAAGUGACCAGAUGCACUUUUCCAUCUUUAGCAGCUUCCACAAAUAUCAACAACCUGAAAAACAGUGGAGAUCGUCAAAAUAUCAGAUAUCUGAAUCCAGUCAGAACGAGACAUUUCUAAAAAUAUUUCCAAUGCUAUGAAAUUCACACACACAAAUCUCCCCAAAUACCCCGGGGAAAAUUUUUGUAUGGGACAAAAGGAGAAAUAACAAUAAUGCCUCAGCCAGAUAUCAAUGGUGACAGAGUUCCAAGUUAAAGAGCUGAUUUAGGCUAUUUUGGUGCACACAAAACAACCUGGCCAUGCUCAAGGGACAGACUACCCGAGCACGGUAUUAAACUACUGUUAGUAAAGCAGUUGCAUCAAGAGAGCAAAUGAAGCAACUAAAACACAUUUCUGGAGUAGCACUGUUGACAUCUGCAGACCCACCCAAGCCAGGCAUUCGUCCCAAAAUAAAAAAUUGGCAACCAGCUAUGAAUGGUUGCCGGUCUUGACUUUUUGUAACUCCACUAAAGAAGCACAAUAUAAAUCUGCAACCCUGUAUCCAGACAAUAAUUGGAAUACAUCAAGAAAAUGCUUGCAGUCAUUCCACAUGAAAAAAAAAAAAAUUAAAAAAAAAAAAAAA
rnacentral:lncRNA from 1 species